GUUAGGUGUAAUCUACCCUCUAAGAAUCUAGUUUGGCUUGUAAGCGUUGGGCUUGCCUAUGGGCUUGUGGCUUGUGCUAGUUAGCUUGCUUGGCCCAUAAGCUAAGUGUUGUAACUCCUAUAUAAGGAGCUUCCCUUGUUGUGAAUGAAUAGAAUGCACACUUAUGAUCUUAACAAGUGGUAUCAGAGGCCUGAAAGAUCCUUUCUCAUAACAAACUCGGUUUGUUAGUUGUGUGCAUAAGAAAAGU
rnacentral:lncRNA from 1 species